GCAUAUCAAUAAGCGGAGGAAAAGAAACCAACCGGGAUUGCCUUAGUAACGGCGAGUGAAGCGGCAAAAGCUCAAAUUUGAAAUCUGGCGUCUUCGACGUCCGAGUUGUAAUUUGAAGAAGGCGACUUUGUAGCUGGUCCUUGUCUAUGUUCCUUGGAACAGGACGUCAUAGAGGGUGAGAAUCCCGUGUGGCGAGGAUCCCAGUUAUUUGUAAAGUGCUUUCGACGAGUCGAGUUGUUUGGGAAUGCAGCUCUAAGUGGGUGGUAAAUUCCAUCUAAAGCUAAAUAUUGGCGAGAGACCGAUAGCGAACAAGUACAGUGAUGGAAAGAUGAAAAGAACUUUGAAAAGAGAGUGAAAAAGUACGUGAAAUUGUUGAAAGGGAAGGGCAUUUGAUCAGACAUGGCGUUUGCUUCGGCUUUCGCUGGGCCAGCAUCAGUUUUAGCGGUUGGAUAAAUCCUCGGGAAUGUGGCUCUGCUUCGGUAGAGUGUUAUAGCCCGUGGGAAUACAGCCAGCUGGGACUGAGGAUUGCGACUUUUGUCAAGGAUGCUGGCGUAAUGGUUAAAUGCCGCCCGUCUUGAAACACGGACCA
rnacentral:rRNA from 1 species